rnacentral:misc_RNA from 1 species
UCUAAAUGCACACCUAUGGGAGCCAUGAUAUUUUAUUAAUUACAGAUUUUAUUGUUGCUAAUAUCUAUUUAUUUUUGAAAUACAUUGCGUUUAAAACCUAUUCGAAUGUUAAUAAAUAAAACUACGUUCGCUUAAAUAUUUCCUAAAUGCAGUUUAUAGCACGAGUCCUAUAUCUCUUGUAAUUAAUACUGUAUUUAUGUAUAUGACACCAGAAGAGAACUAUGUUUCGUUCGAGAACGACGAACAUACAUAUAUUAUUUUUUCAGGUCCAGUGUUAAUCGUGUUAAUUGUUAAAGUAAACCGUGUUAAAAAAAGAAGAAGAAAUCUAAUUUAAUACAUACGUAUUUCUUUAACAAAAUUUAUAACACAUAUUAACAGAUUCAAGGAAAUACUAUGAAAUAAUACUUGUCGCUUUGGCAACAGUGA